rnacentral:rRNA from 1 species
CGGACGGGUGAGUAAUGUCUGGGAAACUGCCUGAUGGAGGGGGAUAACUACUGGAAACGGUAGCUAAUACCGCAUAACGUCGCAAGACCAAAGAGGGGGACCUUCGGGCCUCUUGCCAUCGGAUGUGCCCAGAUGGGAUUAGCUAGUAGGUGGGGUAACGGCUCACCUAGGCGACGAUCCCUAGCUGAUCUGAGAGGAUGACCAGCCACACUGGAACUGAGACACGGUCCAG